UCUCCGUUGGUGAACCAGCGGAGGGAUCAUUAAAGAGUUCUAUAACUCCCAAACCCAUGUGAACAUACCUUACGUUGCCUCGGCAGGUCGCGCCUACCCCGUAACGUCCUACCCUGUAGGACCUACCCGGUAGACGCGGGUAAGCCUGCCGGCGGCCCACGAAACUCUGUUUAAUAUUGAAUUCUGAACCUAAAACUAAAUAAGUUAAAACUUUCAACAACGGAUCUCUUGGUUCUG
rnacentral:misc_RNA from 1 species